UUUCUUCAGGGCAGGGUGCGAUUCCCUACCGGCGGUGAAAGUCCGCGACUCCCCUUUGCAGGGGACUGAAUCGGUGAAAUUCCGAUACCGACGGUGACAGUCCGGAUGGAAGAAGAG
rnacentral:ncRNA from 1 species